CUAUUAUAAGUCAUGGUAUUCGAAAGCAGGAGAUUAGUACUCUAUCAGACAAAACUGCAAUCACGUUUACCAAAUACUUAACCAACGCACCACAAACUAAUGCCUGCACCAAGUUAACGUAUAAUUGUGAUAUGAAGAGAUGGCAGAUACCCACAACCAACUUGGAACCACCACCAGACAGAAGGACAAAUAAGCAUUUAGAGGGCUGGCACCCCAUAUGGAAUUUACUGACCCAUAUAUAUUCCGUAUUAGGUCACUAGCACACUGUGUAACUAAUAAUAUUCAGUAUGGUGAUGCAGCAUCUUACAUCCUCUAACUUGGAAACUAAAUGAACAUUGAACAUUCAUAUGUGUAUAUCAGUGCCUUGUACUUGUAUGAUAUUUGUCUUUAUUUAUUCAUUAAAAUAUAAAUCUCUAAUAAGACUUUAUUUACAAAAUAUAACACAUGAGUAAAAAAAACACUUUCAGAAAAAAAAGAGUAACUAUAAAAAGUGCGACCCCAA
rnacentral:lncRNA from 1 species